UACAGAGGGGGCAAGCGUUGUUCGGAAUUACUGGGCGUAAAGGGCGCGUAGGCGGCCUUCUAAGUCGAACGUGAAAUCCCUGGGCUCAACCCAGGAACUGCGUCCGAUACUGGAAGGCUUGAAUCCGGGAGAGGGAUGCGGAAUUCCAGGUGUAGCGGUGAAAUGCGUAGAUAUCUGGAGGAACACCCGUGGCGAAGGCGGCUCUCUGGAUCGGCCCUGACGCUAAUGCGCGAAAGCGUGGGGAGCGAACGGG
rnacentral:rRNA from 1 species